UCCCAGACUCCUACGGGAGGCAGCAGUGGGGAAUAUUGCACAAUGGGCGAAAGCCUGAUGCAGCGACGCCGCGUGAGUGAAGAAGUAUUUCGGUAUGUAAAGCUCUAUCAGCAGGGAAGAAAAUGACGGUACCUGACUAAGAAGCCCCGGCUAACUACGUGCCAGCAGCCGCGGUAAUACGUAGGGGGCAAGCGUUAUCCGGAUUUACUGGGUGUAAAGGGAGCGUAGACGGGCCAGCAAGUCUGAUGUGAAAACCCGGGGCCCAACCCCGGGAGUGCAUUGGAAACUGCGGGCCUGGAGUGCCGGAGAGGUAAGCGGAAUUCCUAGUGUAGCGGUGAAAUGCGUAGAUAUUAGGAGGAACACCAGUGGCGAAGGCGGCUUACUGGACGGUAACUGACGUUGAGGCUCGAAAGCGUGGGGAGCAAACAGGAUUAGAUACCCCGGUAUGC
rnacentral:rRNA from 1 species